CUCCCCCCGCGCUCCCUCCUCCGGGCCAGGCGAGAAGUUGCAACUGGUUGAGAUAUUUGUGCUCGGGGUUUGGGUUUGUUUUUAUUUUUAUUCUUUUUUUUUUUUUUCCUUUUACUCACCGCAACUCAAAAAAACAUAACCUGAGGCUGCUCCUCACCAUCAGAUCUGAGCAGGGGCGCCCCAGCACAACUAAGCAUAACAAAUCCGAACGAGCUGCAGCAAGAGACAGGGGGAGGGAGGAAGGGAAGGAAGGAGGGGAGGCGGUGGGCAACGGGCAGCUCCGCUGUGCGGGUCCUCAGGGGCUCCCGGCCUGUGCCCCGGGCUCUGGAGGCGGAGAAGUCGCCGCCGAAACCGGGGAGCAGCAGAUAUAGGAGGCGAAGGAGAGCCGGCUGCUAGCGGCUGCCCCGGGGCGGAAGAGACACAGGAGCGCCCACGGUGCGCGCCCGCCGACUCCCCGCAACCCCUUAUACGCCAUCCCGCAGCCGGCGAGACAACCCCCAGUGUCCCAGCUCCGAGCCCCCGGGGUCUGGCGAGGAGCCGCGUAGGCAACGGGAGCCGCGCAUCACCAGCCCCGUCCCCGCCGCGCUGCGCGGGUGAGCGCCCGGGCACUGCGCGGCUCGGAGAUUGCGGUGUUGACACUCUCGCGGCCACGUAACAGCCUCUGGCGAGUCCCUCUCCGCCCCCACCAGUCCCCUCCCUCCCCCCACAACACGAUCGACGUGUCAGCCCCGAAAGUUCAUUUCCAGGCCCUGGGAGAGUUCCCUAUAAAGGUCCCGCUGCGUGCGUGGGACAGUGAGACGUGGCACUGCGGGGCUGCAGCCGAGCCGCGCAGGCAUCUCCCCCAGCCAAUUCCCCGAAUUGAUACUUUCAAAACGAAGAGGAAGACAGGAGUGAGAAUGAAGAAUGCCUUGGAGAAAUCCGGUUGUAAAGUUUGAGGAGCAGAAAAAAUAGGAAAUAUUAAUAACUCUGGUCUCUUAAAUAGGUCAGAAUUUAGACUGAAAUAAUAAAAAGUUACAACCCUAAGACAUAAGUACUAUUAAAUUUGAAUCUAGAUUCACAGAUUUUUAAAUUAAUACGUAAAAAAAUAUUUGCUUUUUUUCCCCCCUCUACUUUGGAUGGUAAUAUAUUUUUCUGCCUUAAAAAACUCUCUUGUAUAGACUACUGUAAGUUUUUAUUUUUUGGAUAUUAGCCCUAAGACAUCCAUUAGUUGCUCCUCUCUGUUUGAGCGUCCAUAAUCGUUAAUAUUGAAUUCCUGUGUUACUACAUCACCCAGCAGUACAAGGGGAAUUUGAAUAGAGAGUGCAUAUAUAUAUAUGACCUUGUCACUGCCAAGUGGUCUAAAGCACAGGAUAUACAGCUCAUCUAGACUUCAGGUUUUUGUGCUGGCCUUUUUGAGGAUGCAUGGGUAGAGAAGAUAUUUGGCGUUAACUCCUGUUUUCAUUGAAUUAGACUACCACAAUUUUUAGAAGGAAUUUUAACCAAAUGUGAAGUUCUCAUAACUUAGACAUUUCUGUGUCACUGAUCUAGCAUUAGGAGCCCUAAAACAAGUUUACCUAGUAACAGUGGAGUUGUCCAUGCACAAGAAUUUCGUGGUAAAUUCUCCAAGUAGGCCAAUAUCUAAGUCAUUGUUAAAAAGUGAUUUAUGUAAACUGGAGAAAAGCAACAUAUGAACAUUCUUGUUUUGCUUUAAACAUAUCUUAAAUGCACAAAAAAAUGCACAUAAAUUAAGUUGGAAUUAACAAAAAAAGAUUAAUCAGAAGUGGGUUUACCUAUAAAGAGUUUGAUUGUCUAAUGGGAGUUCAUUUAUCACUUCAGUUAAGAGCAAACAGCAUAUUUAUGUGACCAAAAUCUCACAUGCCCUCUGCCCUUUCUAAGACUCAUAGGGAACACAAUAAGCUAGAUGUACUUACCAAGGGGGUUUAUGUAGGAAGUAAGAGAGUCAGCAACUUAAUACGGUGCAUGCCAUAUUGCAAUGAUCCAUUUUUCCAGCCUUACACUUCCUAUCAGAUCAUUUGAUAGCAGCAAUAAAAGUUACAAGUUCUGUUCAAUUGAUGUUUUCCUCAGUUGCUCGUACACUGUAUUCAGUGGCUUGUUAGGAAAAAAAAUAGAUGGUGUUGUUUACAGCCAGUCUUUAUAAUCUGGAAUUGUUAAAAAACAAAAUGCCUAACAACUUGGAGGUGGCUACAGAAGCAAGGACAAAAGAGAAAAUAAAUUAAAAAUAAUAUGUGUUUAUUACUGAGAAAUAAAACCAAAUAAACCCCCCCAA